rnacentral:tRNA from 1 species
GGUGGGGUAACCAAGAUGGUCAAAGGGUGCAGACUGUAAAUCUGCCGCGCUCCGCGCUUCGGGGGUUCGACUCCCUCCCCCACCACCA